AUGGAGCAUUCUGUCGAGCAGCUUGUGCGCGGCGAGCCAUCUCUGCCGAUGCAAGUCGAGGGCUCCAUGGGCAAGGCGAAGGGGAAGCAGCGGCAGGACGAGUACUACCACCUCGCCAAGGAGCAGGGCUACCGGAGCCGCGCGGCCUUCAAGCUGCAGCAGCUCGACGACCGCUUCCGGUUCCUCCCGCCGGCGCGCGCUGUGCUCGACCUCUGCGCGGCGCCGGGGGGCUGGAUGCAGGUGGUCGUCGCCCGUGCCCCCGCCGGCGCCUUCGUCGGCGGCGUCGACCUCAUGCCCAUCCGCCCCGUCCGCGGCGCGCACUCCCUCACGGAAGACAUCACCACCACCAAGUGCCGCUCCGCCGUGCGAAGGCUCAUGGACUCCAAGGGGGUCACCGCCUUCGACGUCGUGCUUCACGACGGCUCGCCCAACGUCGGCGGCGCGUGGGCGACGGCCACUUGCAUCCAGCCCCCCGGCGCGAGAAGAGAGGAGAGAGAGGAGAAAGAGACUAGUCAACCUGCCCGCGUGGAAUUUUUUUUGCCACAUCAUCCCGACAGGCAGGCCCCACCUGUCGGUUUCGCAGUUUUCUGGGCUAAAACGCAGCGUUAG
rnacentral:rRNA from 1 species